UUAAGUUCAGCGGGUAACCCUACCUGAUCCGAGGUCAAACCAUAGAAAGAUGGGUUGACGGCUGGCCUCCACCGGGUCCCGAUGCGAGUUGUAAGACUACUACGCAGGGGGCGCCGCGGCGGGACCGCCACUUCAUUUCGGGGCCUACGGCAGGGCACGAGGCCCUGAACCGUAGCGCCCCAACACCGGGCAGCGGAUAG
rnacentral:misc_RNA from 1 species